UGAUCACCAUGCCGCGUGUGUGAGAAGGUCUUCGGAUUGUAAAGCACUUUAAGUUGGGAGGAGGAGGGUUAAUACCUUGCUGUUUUGACGUUACCAACAGAAAACACCGGCUAACUUCGUGCCAGCAGCCGCGGUAAUACGAAGGGUGCAAGCGUUAAUCGGAAUUACUGGGCGUAAAGCGUCAAAAAAGAAGGUUCAGCAAGUUGGAUGUGAAAUCCCCGGGCUCAACCUGGGAACUGCAUCCAAAACUACUGAGCUAGAGUACGUAGAGGGUGGUGGAAUUUCCUGUGUAGCGGUGAAAUGCGUAGAUAUAGGAAGGAACACCA
rnacentral:rRNA from 1 species